rnacentral:ncRNA from 2 species
CAAUAUAUUAAAGCGCCAGGACCUUAAGAGGAUUUUCUAUUUAAGGUCGACGAGGAAGAGGGUUAUCGAACAAUUCGGCGGAUCCCUCUCGGUGGCUUGUCACCGUAAAGCUUGCUUAAAACCGAGGAGUAAUUCUCGGGACAAAGAGAAAGCUGACAAGACAA